GUGGGGAAUAUUGCGCAAUAGGGGAAACCCUGACGCAGCGACGCCGCGUGGGUGAUGAAGGCCUUCGGGUCGUAAAGCCCUGUGGGAGAGGGAAGAAACACCGGCGGGAAUAAUACCCCGUCGGCUUGACGGUACUUCUCCAGAAAGCACCGGCUAACUCCGUGCCAGCAGCCGCGGUAAGACGGAGGGUGCUAACGUUGCUCGGAAUUACUGGGCGUAAAGCGCGUGUAGGCGGGACGGCAAGCGAGAUGUGAAAGCCCUUGGCUCAACUGAGGAAGUGCAUUUCGAACUGCCGACCUUGAGUGCGGGAGAGGGAGGUAGAAUUCCCGGUGUAGAGGUGAAAUUCGUAGAUAUCGGGAGGAAUACCGGUGGCGAAGGCGGCCUCCUGGACCGACACUGACGCUGAGACGCGAAAGCGUGGGGAGCAAACAGGAUUAGAUACCCGGGUAGUCC
rnacentral:rRNA from 1 species